GUGAGCUCGACCACCACGGUUUCCUUUGGGGUCAGCAAGGCCGGAGCGAUGGAAGCCGCUGGGAGCCAAAAACAUUCCCAGAGCGAAGAGCCGGCCCUGCCCCCUUGCGCAUGCGUAGAGAACACUGCAUCCUGGACUGAGAAUCCUGAAAAAAGGCAUCGACUGAGUCCACGCAGAUGGAAGCUGAGAUCUUGUGCUUCAGAUACCCCAUUUCCUUAAGAAAGAAACCUGAGCAUCAUGCAAUAAAGAAGUAUUACCUUUA